GCAGUCGAGCGAAGCUUUUCAGUAGUUUACUACAGAAAAUGACUGAGCGGCGAACGGGUGAGUAACGCGUGAGCAAUCUACCUUAGUUACAGGGAUAGCCCGAGGAAACUCGGAUUAAUACCUGAUAUUCUUUAUUUCUCGCAUGAGAAUAAAAGGAAAGGUCAGCCGGACUAAGAUGAGCUCGCGUUCUAUCAGCUAGUUGGUGAGGUAAAAGCUUACCAAGGCUACGACGGAUAGCUGGUCUGAGAGGACGAUCAGCCACACUGGGACUGAGACACGGCCCAGACUCCUACGGGAGGCUGCAGCAGGGAAUAUUGUGCAAUGAACGAAAGUUUGACACAGCGACACCGCGUGUGGGAUGACGGAUCUAGGUUUGUAAACCACUUUCAGGAGGGAAGAAAAUGACGGUACCUCCACAAGAAGCCCCGGCCAACUACGUGCCAGCAGCCGCGGUAAUACGUAGGGGGCGAGCGUUGUCCGGAUUUAUUGGGCGUAAAGAGCUCGUAGGCGGUUCAACAAGUCGGUCGUGAAAGUUCAGGGCUCAACCCUGAAAUGUCGAUCGAUACUGUUGUGACUAGGAUACGGUAGAGGUGAGUGGAAUUCCGAGUGUAGCGGUGAAAUGCGUAGAUAUUCGGAGGAACACCAAUUGCGAAGGCAGCUCACUGGACCGCUAUCGACGCUGAGGAGCGAAAGCUAGGGGAGCAAACAGGAUUAGAUACCCUGGUAGUCCUAGCUGUAAACGAUGGAUACUAGACGUAGG
rnacentral:rRNA from 1 species